rnacentral:ncRNA from 1 species
GAAAAGGCAGUGAGCGGAAAGAGUAACUGAUACGACGCACACAGAGAGGGAACGUCACCGGCUGAAAACGUUCCUGUGAACAGAGGAUCAGUGAAGUGCAUCCGGGAGCCGACGCUGUGAAAGGAAGAGUAGCGGCGUACGUCUGGCAUACGUUACAUGCAUGUAAGGGAAAGAACAGCGUCUCUUUUGCGGAAAGAGAAGAGAUUCUUUUAUUAGAGUGGAACCGCGGAAAACUUCGUCUCUAAC